CUGGAGGAGCCACUGCAAGAACCAGAAGAGUCCUCCUCUUCCAUGAUCCUUCCCUUCCGCUUCCCCUUCCAGGAUGGGGGCGGGGGGGAGGACAGGGAAGACCCUUGGGUUUAUGGAAAACACCUAGGAAGCUGGGAGAAAAAAACACCCCCAAACAACCAGAACAGGUAUUUACCUGAUGGGCAGAGGGCAUCACUGAUUGGCAGAACAUUUUCCUACUUUCAGUUGCUGGAUAUGCAAAUAGGUAAAUAUCUACCACUAGGACAAGAAAGAAGAGUUUUGAUUUGAUCAUUUGCUUGGGGAGAAAAAUGCUCAGCAGAGUAGGUUUUUUCUUUUUUGUUGUUUUCCCACCCCAUGCAGAAAUCAGGACUGGGGAAAGAUGUCUUAAAUGCCAACAGACCCAACAAUUCAGCAUUUAUAAACUGUCACUUUUUCAUGUGUAGAUAAUGCAUAUUUUACAGUUUAUUCAGCUGUUAACAUUUUAUAAUCUGUUCAUAACCUGGUUUUAUAGCUAAAUAUGGUAACUGUCCCCAAACUAUUGAUAUUUUAUGUGUUGUUACCUGCAGCAAUUUUGUUUUUGUUUUAUAUGGGUUCUCUGGCUCUCAAUACACAAACAAACAAAUAUACAAAACUAUUAUGUUGCUGUUCCAGAGCAUUGGUUCUGCCUUGUCUUGGUAGGAGUCUGUUUCUUACACAAAAUCUUGAUUUUUCAGAGAUUUUACCUUUGUUAUAAAAAAUUUUAGAUUCACCUGUCCCUCAAUAUGGGGAUUCCAAAGUGAGAAACACAUAACAAACAACAAUAGAAAAAUAUAGUUUUUCAUGUCAUUUGAUUUACGCUUUAUAGACUUAUGACUGAGACAGGUUAAGCUUGUCAGUGUUAUAUAUAAUCUUAUUUAUGGCAAGAUUUUUUGAAAAGUGGCUUACUUUGUGUACAUUCUCUAUUAUUUGAGAGGAAAUCUUUAUUUCAGAAAGGGUUCCAUAUGCCUAGGAGUUUGAAUUAUGAAAUGAAGCAGUUCCUAGAAUGCUGUUAGAGUCUAAUGAUUCUACAACGUUGUCUGAAAUGCACUUCAGAGUGUUUAAUCAAAAGGCCAGAGUUUCUACUAGGAGGUGACUCAUGGUGCCAGGAAGAUAGAUAUAUUCAAGGGAAACUACACAUGUAAAUGACAUCAACACUUCUAUAUAACCCAUUUUUCCAGAGAGAUUGCCUAAGUAAUGAACUGAUAUUACAUGUUUUGUUUUGUUUUGUUUUUUAAAGUUUUUUCUGUAAAGGAAAGAAUAAGACAUAUAAAAACCUAUUUGAAUAAUAUGAAUGAGGUAACAAAAUAAAUAGUCAUCAAAGGAAAACAAAUUUGAGGCAGUAGCAAAAAGCAGGUUGUUCUCCAUUUUAAAUCUGCAACCAUUCGGUUAGAAGAGGCGGUAGAGAUUUGCCGAAUUUCUUUAUUUGUCAGAUCACUGGCUUUUAUUGCAUUGUGUCAGAUUCUUAGUGUUAUUUCAAAGUAAUGUUUGAUUUUCUUGUGUCUAUAGAUGAGGUCCUAUUCUCAGGCAUGGCCUUAAGAACUCUGAAUACACCAUUAGGAAUUCAUAAAGCAACUCACACUCACAUGUGCUAAUGCACUCAACUGUGCACCAACUAACAGACAAAGGCAUCUACUGUAAAAUUGGAAGUUGAAGUAUUUUAAAUGAUUUCUGUCUUGAGAAAUGAAUUUAAAUUUGACUUAAUGCUGAUAGUACUAUUUAGGCU